UCGAGGAUCAUUCGCAAUGGGCGAAAGCCUGACGAUGCGACGCUGCGUGGAGGAUGAAGGCCUUCGGGUUGUAAACUCCUGUCAUGAGGGGAAAAGGUGUUGGGUGUUAAUAGCAUCCGACCUCGAUAGUACCUCAAGAGGAAGCCACGGCUAACUCUGUGCCAGCAGCCGCGGUAAUACAGAGGGUGCAAGCGUUGUUCGGAAUUACUGGGCGUAAAGCGCGUGUAGGCGGUCAUUUAGGUCUUGUGUGAAAGCCCUGGGCUCAACCCAGGAAGUGCGCGAGAAACCGGAUGACUGGAGUACUGGAGAGGAUGGCGGAAUUCCCGGUGUAGAGGUGAAAUUCGUAGAUAUCGGGAGGAACACCUGUGGCGAAGGCGGCCAUCUGGACAGUAACUGACGCUGAGACGCGAAAGCGUGGGGAGCAAACAGG
rnacentral:rRNA from 1 species